rnacentral:lncRNA from 1 species
UGUUUUCCAUUAAUUCUCACAAAUGAAAGAGAUACAAUCUAUAUACAGAAUGGAAAGCUAUUACAGAGCACAAACAAACUUAGCUAACUUCUAACUACCAAAUUAAUUAAAUUACAAUGUUAUCCCUAUUUAUGUAAAAAUGAUGAAACUACCCUUGUGAUCAUUUAGAAGUAUUAUGCUGACAGCUCCCCUACCUCUUUUUAUGUAUUUCUUCAUCCGAGAUCACUGCUUCUCCUUUGCUUGGGUUAGUCCACCGCCUCAACUACCACCGACUCUUCCACUAAGACGAACCUUGAACCCACAAAAAAAUCUCACCGGUGCUCCCUCUUCUUCUUCCACCCCAUUGCCUUGCUCUCUCGCCAAAGAUCGUAUGAUCGAGUAGCAACGAAAGAUGCUACUGAAGAGCUGGUGACGUCGACGAAAAACCUUCUCCUUUUCUACAUGGAUUGAAGCUUCCAUCUUCGAUUGGAGAACAUUCGGCGCCUUCGUUUCUGUUUCAGCUUAGAAAAUCGAUUCCCCUCCUCCUCCGUUGUUUUACUAUUCCAGGUUUGGUGUUCGCCAUCUACCUUUUUUUUCCUGUUUCCGUGUACUGCCAUCUGUUGGGAAUGGAAGAAAGAAGCAUGUGUAUAUGCCUUUGACUCAACCGCCAUCUGGCAAACGGAUUUACAGACCCAAUUCUUAUCCAGGUAUUAGUCGCCCUAGAAAAGAUGUAUAUGCCUGAAUUAGCCUACUGAUUUAGAGACCAAUUCUUAUCCUCACUUUACAGUUCCAUGUUUACUUUAGCCAUAUAAGGGAUAUGCUUUUCAACCCAUGUCUUUUAAUUAUGUAUGAUUCACAAAGUGCAUAUUGUCAUUAAAGAACUUAUUGUGAUUUUGGUGUGGAUGCGAGGUGGUAAUGGAGGCGGGUGAAUGAUGGCUUGAUUGGAGAAAUAAGGGAGGUGGUUGACGGUUGUUUUAAGUGGGAAUGGUGGAGAAGUGGUGGUCAGGAGUGGGGGUGAGGAUGGAUUAACGUGUUGUUUUCAUUGAAGGAUGUUCAUCAAGGUUAUUUUAACUUUACCUUGGUAAUUCAUGAAGCUAUUCCGAUUCCCAGGUGACGAUUGUUCAUCCCUCUUUCUAUAUGCUUUCAAUUUCAUGUUUGUUUAAGUGUGUUCUUAAUUUUAAUUUAUUUGUUCGAAUAUAAGAAUGGGCAAGUAGAAUGAAGCUUAACGAUAGACUUUACUUGCUCAGGUAUUAGCCGCCAAAUAUUAGUAAUGUAACAACUCUGAAGUAAGAAUUCCUUUUCAGCAUAUCUUGGCACACAAUCAACACCUAGACAAUCAGCAGCUUCUUGAACCUUCAAUCACGUGCAUUCUCCCAUUUAGAUUAAUUAGAGAAAAAGACAAAAAUGCCCCUAAAAAAACUUGAGACUUACACGAGCGAUUGCAUUAGCAGUUUCAGUUGGUGCUAUUCUAGGGCUGCUCACUAUUGAUUUCACCUUCAAAUCAAAUUACAAAAAAAAAAAAACUGUAUAGUUCCAAGCAUGUCCAUAGGCAUGUUACUGUUAUCAGAUUCAGAAUCACUACCCUGUUAAAAAAAUCUCAAGAAAACCAAAUUAGGGAAAUUAAGAAAACAAACAAUUUUUUUUUUCACAUACUGGUUUAUUUAUUAAUAUCACCUCAGGGUUUCCAUGGCAGACAAGUACAAUCCGUUUACUAGCUUUCCUCCCUGCAGAGCUUCCAGAAGCAAUAGGGGAGCUUGGAGUUUGAUUUAAUCUGGUAAGACAUAUAUAUGGAGAUCCACCUUCAGGUUGUGGGACAAAAUCUAGCACACUUACACCACAGUUGCUUUGAAGUAAAAUACAUUGAAUCAACAUCAGGUAUGACGUUAACAGACUUCUAUUUUAAAAUGAAUCUAGAAAUCCAAAAGUUUUUUAUUUUCAUUUCAUGGAUUAUAUCUUUUCCGUCUCUAUUGCAUCUUUGAUUGAUUAAACCUAUUUCUAAUAAGGACCUUUUUUUUGCCUACUACCUGUUUGAUAAAAUGCCACAAUUAAUGAAAAAAUAAAGAUCCAAAGGUUAGCAGGUGGAGGAUAAAAUUAUGCAGCAUUUGUACGAGAUAUUGGUGUUCUAUCAGCAGAUACAUAUCUUUUGGAGGAGGUAAAUUAAAUUAUAUAUUUUUUUGGUCAACAUGUGGUCAAAGGAAACAUUUUCAGUUUGAUGAAAAGUGAAAACUACUUGAAUGGUUGUCGUAUGAUUUUUUUAAUAGUAUUUAUGAAUGUUGAGGAGGGUUUUAACAAAUUGUUGAUGUUUAAUUAAUUAUUUCUCGAAUUAAUUGACUGUUGCAUUGAUUUCCUAUCUUCAUCUUAAAACAGUUUUAUGUUAUAACUUCCAUACAAAUUAUGUAUGAUAUGUUUUGUUGAUAAUAUUGUUCUUUGUUUACUAUAUUACAGAAAGAAGUUGUUCAACUUACUUGCGAGUGUGAAAGACAUUUUGGGACACAAUCUGGUGGAAUGGAUCAGGUAUAUACAUAUAAUAUUUCUCAUAAACCAAUGAACUUUUCGAGUAAUUACAUUUUGUGCUUAAAUGCAAAAAAUUAACAUCAUACUUUCCUUUAUAAUAAAUGAAAGUGGAAUGGUAUAAUGAACGCAUAGGAAGUAACUUGAAAGUACAAUGUUAUAAUUUGUAUUUUUUUAUUGAACUAGGCAAUAUCCAUAAUGGAAAAACGGGAUUUGCUGACCUAGUAGAUUUCAACCCUCUUCGUGCAACUGAUGUGCAACUGCCAGCUGACGGAACUUUUCUAAUUGCUCAUUCAUUGGCUGAAUCACAGAAAGUUGUAACUGCUGCAACAAACUACAAUAAUCGUGUUGUUGAAUGUUGUUUAGCUUCUGUAAGAUUAAAGAAAAGUCUUUUUUUCAUUAUUUUUGUGUUGCUUCAAUGGUUUGAUUGGUUUGAUGGAAUGGAAUGACCCAUUACAUUCUGUUCAACAAAACAAAUAGUUUCUUUUCUUCAUUCCAGUAGAAUGAAUCAUUCCAUUCCUUUUCCAAUUUCAUUGUUGUAUGUCCCUAAAUCCUCCAUAACAAAUGGGGCCUAUGUGGCAAGUAGUCGACUAAUAUUCUAUAUUUACCUCUCUUACAUUCUAAUUUUUCUUUUCACUUUCCACCUAUUUUCCUAAUAAUCAUUCUAUUUUUGAAAACUCUAUAUUUAUUUAUUUAUUCAUUUAUUUAUUUUUUGCAGAUUUUAUUGGGCAUAAAACUCGGAAUGGAACUUGAAGAGGCAAUUUCAAAAGUGAAAACCAUUUCUGAUGUAGAAGCUUUAUGUGCAUCCUUUUUUGGGGCCCAUGGGUCUUCCAACCCUACCAUUGCUGUUAAGGUAUUCAUUCGGCUACCAAAAAUGAUGACAUGGCACGAGUGUCGCCACGUCAUCAUCUAACUCCUAUAAUAUAUUUAUAUUCGACGUUUUGCUUUAAACGGUAAAAAACAUAUAACUUGGUUGCUAUCUUUGGUUAAAAAUAAAAAAAUAUCUGAAAGAGGAGCCUUAUACAUCUAAUGAAAUUGAGAUAAUCACCGGUAAAAGCUUAGAUUCCAUAAUUUUUUACUCUGCCACUUCACUGGAUGUGAUAAAAGCUGCCACACAUUACAAGUUAUUCCAGGUAACUUCACAAAAUACCAACCUACUUUCUCAUGUAUUCCAUCAGUUAAUUUUUUUUUUACUUUAAAAAACUUUCAUUUGUAAUUAUUUUUUGAAUCACUGUAUAGUUAACAUUUUUUUUUUUGUAAAUUUGUUCUAUCAGAGAGCCUUCCAUGUGUACUCGACAGCGAAACGUGUAUAUGCUUUCAAGGAUGUGGUGUCAUCAAAUUCUGAGUGAGUCUCACUAUUUUCUAUGAUUUUAUAUUUUUUUAUAAAUAAACUUUGUUUAUAUCUUUUUAAAGUCCGGAAUAUGGCUAAUAUUGGAAUUUGUUUUUGCAUUGAAUAGGAGAGGUUGAAGAACCUUGACGAUCUAAUGAAUGACAAUCACCAUAGUUGCAGUGUUCUAUUUGAGUGCAGGUUUAGGCUUUAUUUUUCCUUUCUAAUUUUUUUUCCUGUUACUCGGUUAUAUCGGUUUAAAUGUUGUUAACAAAAAGCAAAUUAUGGUUGUUACGGGAAGUUUCACCCUUUUUGAUGAUUGUAAUUUCAAUUUCAGAAUUUUAGAAAUUGUAUUUGUUGUGCUUUUUCCGGUUAUAUGUAAUUUGAAUUUCGUAUUGGGGGUUUUCCAAUCUCACAAACAAAUUUCUUCUGUCAACAUAUGAUAUUUAUUGUUUUGUUUGUGUAGAUGAAGUUUAGUUUCACCAACCGAUCUCAAGGGUUUGGAUUUGUUAUUUUUGUGAGUGAAUAAGUUAUUAAUGAAAUGUUAUCUAAUGUUAAGUUGCAUUGUUGAGCUACUGAAAAAUGACAAAAACUACAAAAAAAUCCAUACCCCGCGUAGCGGGGGUUCCCACCUAGUUUGAGAUCAUUACAACAUUAACAGAAGAAGGAAAUAUUGAAACAACAUUUCAUUACAAAAAUGAAAAUUAGUCUUCUUCAAUGCCAAGAAAAAAAACUCAGGCACAUAACACAAAUUACAGGAAAUUACGGAAGAGUCACAAGAACCCUAAUAAUCAUAAAAUUUCAUUUUUAAUUUAGAAAAAAGGGUAGAAGAAUAUCUGAAAAAGUAUCAAAAUAUAACCUUUCUUUUUCUUCUUUUAUACCUUCUAAUUAUUUACUACAGUGGCAUGCAUAAAGGAAGAGCAACAAGAAAAGUACACAGCUUAAUCAAAUUACCGGAGUCGGAGAAGGCGUCGGAGGCUCGCAGUAGCUCCGGCAUCGACACCAGAUCCUGAUGCGGCCGCCUCCGUGUUGUAACUGAGCUGUGGCCGGAGCGAAAAAUUAGGCAAAGGCAAGCUGGUUGGAGGCGGAGAAGGAGUAAACACAACAGAACCUAAAAACUUAUAAUCAGGAAGAGAAACAAUUUCACAGGAGUUGGUAAGCGAGGAUGAGAAAACCCUAGAAAUAACCAAUCUGAAAUCGGAAAUCAGAAAUAGGAAAAUCAGUUUAACUUACACCUUUCUUCAGUAGCCUCCGAUUAGCCUCUCUGGUGGUGCAUCAGCAGCCGACCUACCUGUUUUUUGUUCCCGUCAACACACAUCAACAUAGAGGAAUCGAGAACCGGUAUCCCUUUUAAUGACCACCUUCAAAUAACCAAUCUGAAAUCGGAAAUCAUAAAUAGGAAAAUUAGUUUAGCUUACACCUUUCUCCGGUAGCCUCCGAUUAGCCUCUCCGGUGGUGCAUCAACGACCGACCUCCCUGUUUUUUGUUCCCGUCAACACACAUCAACAUAGAGGAAUCGAGAAUUGGUAUCCCUUUGCAUCAUUACUUUUGAGCUGUACAAUUUUUUUCCUUUAUGGCCGAUGUAUCACAACACCAGAGAACCGACAACUGGUGAGAAGUUGUGUCAACGACUCUGCGAAGUGAAGAAGAGGAGGAUCACCCCCCUGCACGUUUGCCUUAUGGAGCAAUAACGGUGUUCAUGAUUUCAUGUGGUGGUACCGAGGAAGCGAGGGCGAGAGGAGCCAAAUUGAUAAUGAAGGAAUAAAAAUUAGAGAAGUUGGCGACUAACGGAUAGGAAAGAAGAGUCUGUGUAUAUGGGUGGUGGGUUUAACAGAGGUAGUGAAAAAGGAGUUGUGGCGGUUAUUUGUUUAGAUUGGCGGGGGAAGUGAGAUGAAGAAGAAACAAAGGGACACGUAUGGA